rnacentral:tRNA from 1 species
CCGCCGCUUCCGGCAGGCGACCAGCUGGCGGCCUACCGUGUCGACGGUCAAGCAAGGAUGGUCUUUGAUCGCCGAUCCUUCGGUGGUGGCGGC